GCAUAUCAAUAAGCGGAGGAAAAGAAACCAACAGGGAUUGCCCCCAGUAACGGCGAAGUGAAGCGGCAACAGCUCAAAUUUGAAAUCUGGCCCCUAGGGCCCGAGUUGUAAUUUGCAGAGGAUGCUUUUGGCAAGGUGCCUUCCGAGUUCCCUGGAACGGGACGCCAUAGAGGGUGAGAGCCCCGUCUGGUUGGAUGCCGAGCCUCUGUAAAGCUCCUUCGACGAGUCGAGUAGUUUGGGAAUGCUGCUCUAAAUGGGAGGUAUAUGUCUUCUAAAGCUAAAUACCGGCCAGAGACCGAUAGCGCACAAGUAGAGUGAUCGAAAGAUGAAAAGCACUUUGAAAAGAGGGUUAAAUAGUACGUGAAAUUGUUGAAAGGGAAGCACUUAUGACCAGACUUGGACCCGGUGAAUCAUCCAGCGUUCUCGCUGGUGCACUUUGCCGGGCUCAGGCCAGCAUCAGUUUGCCCCGGGGGAUAAAGGCUUUGGGAAUGUGGCUCCCUCGGGAGUGUUAUAGCCCAUUGCACAAUACCCUGGGGCGGACUGAGGUUCGCGCAUCUGCAAGGAUGCUGGCGUAAUGGUCAUCAGUGACCCGUCUUGAAACACGGACCAAGGAGUCGUCUUCGUAUGCGAGUGUUCGGGUGUAAAACCCCUACGCGUAAUGAAAGUGAACGCAGGUGAGAGCUUCGGCGCAUCAUCGACCGAUCCUGAUGUUCUCGGAUGGAUUUGAGUAAGAGCAUACGGGGCCGGACCCGAAAGAAGGUGAACUAUGCCUGUAUAGGGUGAAGCCAGAGGAAACUCUGGUGGAGGCUCGCAGCGGUUCUGACGUGCAAAUCGAUCGUCAAAUAUGGGCAUGGGGGGCGAAAGACUAAUCGAACCUUCUAGUAGCUGGUUCCGC
rnacentral:rRNA from 1 species